CCUCUGUUCCUAGCCGAAGGAUUCUUCCAAAGAUCUUCUCCUAGCCAUCUCACUCCACGGACGAAGCUCACGCAUACAUCCUUCACCGUCCACAUCAUCCUACAUCCAGCCCUCUCCCCAUUCUCCGGAUCACAGAUCUUCUCCCGCGACCGAGUAUCCCAGCUUGCAUCUUUAUCCUCUUCUUCAAAACAGAGCAUCCUCCACGUUUCAACGCCUCCCCAUCGUAUCUUCAUCACGAAUUCAUCUUCCCAACGUCUCUCUCUCAACUUCUCUUCAUCCCACAUUCCAUUUCAACCGAACCCAACGUCCUCCCAGAUUUCUUCUUCGAAUGCCAUCCCGUGCAUCCCAACCUCCAACCAGAUUCCUAGCUUCUUCCCUUCCAGAUGAGUCCCAAGCACCUAGUUCCAGCAAACAGGGCUCUAUUAAGAAACAGAACCAAAUCCUCCGCAUGAUCCACGGGUUUCCGAGAUCUUCCCUCAGCAAAAUAAAUCAAGGAGUUCAUCUUCAUCACCAUCCGAACUUCACUCCCUGAUUUUUAUCCAACGCCCGAGCUGCCGAAUCCUGUGGAUCAUCUUCCCAGAUUUCCCUUGCGGAUUAGAUCCAUCACCAAACUCCCAGCCAUCCGUAGUCUCCCGCAGUUUCNNNNNNNNNNNNNNNNNNNNUCCCGUGGAUCAUCUUCCCAGAUUUCCCUCGCGGAUUAGCUCCAUCACCAAACUCCCAGCCGUCCGUAGUCUCCCUCAGUUUCUUCCGUAUCCCCUGUUCCGGAUCAACCUCCUCCGGAUCACGGAUCCUCAUCUUCACCCGGAUCUUUCCCAUAUUUUCUCCCGUUCGGAUCCCAUCUUCUUCCGCCAGAAUCCCAGCCAUUCCGUCGUCCACAACCACUCCUUCCCAGCUGAAGCAAGCCAACCUCCUCCGGAUCACGUCCACGAACAGAUCUCAACCAUUUUCCCAAGUUUAUCCUCUCAACCUCCUCUCCGGAUCACGCCAGUAAAUCUUCCGAAUCACCUGUGAUCGAGUUCAUCUCCCCUUCAUGCCGUUCGGCCAGCCGUUCUCAGCAGACCACCGUUCGCAAGGAGAAACAGCCUCCCCUGCUUCAACCACGGAGUAGAUCAAGCAUCCUCCCAAGUGCAUCCCGAGCUUCACGGAUUCGGAACCACUCCCAGCUGAAUCCAGUUGUUCCCAGUGCCAAUCCAGCAUCAGAUCGAGCCUCAUCCUUAUCCUCCACUCGGAAAAAGGGAAGAGAUAGAGACUGCAGCCUAUAAAAGGCCCAAGCUUGAAACAGGGGAAGGCACUUCGGGGGGUUCGGUUCCACAUCUCUUCACAGGCCAAAUCCCACGGGAAGAAAGAAACAAAGAAGGGAGAGAAGAGUUUUGGAUAUUUUGGGAAUGAUUUCUCAUAUAGAAAAAAAUGAAGUGCUGAGAGGGAGUUCUUCAAUGGAAGUCGCCAGAGGAAGAAAGAAAGAAGAGCUGGUCGCGAUGGAAGUCUUCUCCACUGCUACGGCUGUUCAAUUCUCUAUGGAAGGCUGAUCUCCUCACUAGGGCUGGAUGCAGCCCUAACAAAGGGCUAAGGAUUUUAUACUUUAUUUUAUAUUCUU
rnacentral:lncRNA from 1 species